UAAGAGGCUUUAAUAAAAGCCACAUUUAAAUGUUUAGAAUUACUGU
rfam:Physcomitrella patens subsp. patens PHYPAscaffold_410 genomic scaffold, whole genome shotgun sequence.